rnacentral:lncRNA from 1 species
UGCAAUUGCCAAAGUCAUCUAACAAACAAAGAUUUUCCAACCUAAUUCUUCCUGCGUUUGGUUCGGGUAUAAGUAAGAACGGUUAGUUCCAAGGAUAGGUACAAGUUCAGGUAUAAGCAGGAAACUAGAUCAAUUUUGCGUUUGGAUGAAAAUUGGAUUGUUCCUAGGAAUAAAGUAAAUAGUAUUUGGAUGGUUAGAUUGGAACAAGAGGAAUAAGAGUUAUAAUUUGAAAUUAAAAUUAUAUUAUGUAAUUAAUUAACAUCAAAAUAUUACUUAAAAAUAAAUAAAUAAUUAAUUAUUAAUAAUUAAUUAUAAAUAAUAAUAAGUAUUAAUAAUUAUUAAUAAUUAAUUUAUAAAUAAUAAAUUAAUAAUAUUGAAUAUCUAAUUAAUAAUAAUAAUAAUUGAUAAUUAUUAAUAAAAAAAUUAUUAUUAAUUAUUAUUAUUAGUUAAUUAUUAAUUAUUGAAAGAAGGGCUAAAGUGCAUACUUUCUUGAGUUGUAUUAAUGAAUAUAUAUAGUACAAGAGAACAAUGACUACUAUAGUAAGAGUAUAACUAGGAUUACAUACUAUAUAAUCCUACUCUAUAGAAAGCAAUGAUACUACUCUAUAUAAGGUAAUAAUACACAAUANNN